AGUCUUAAGCUGACAGUUUUAAAAUAAAGACGCUCACCGAAAUCGUUCGUGUUUUAAUUUAUACUUGGCUUCAGCGUUGAUCUUUGUCUUCGUUACAGACGGAUCAUUUAUUUGACUCAAGAAAAUAGUAACUACAAAAUUAUUACGUCCAUCCAUAUGACUGCUUGAGCGCGCAGGUACACUCCCUACUAUGAAGUCCCAUUCCAAGAUUGCUGGUUCACGAAGAUUCAUCGAAUUCUACGAAUAAUUUCAUCAAGCGUUAUGAGAUAUACACAUGCCCUACGGAACUAAAGGAAAACGGAUUUAAUACGUAAAGAAGUAAGGAGUUUACGCUUUACAAGCUUGUUAAAUGUGAGUUUGAGAGACUACUCUUUAACAACCAGGAAUCAGAACAUAGAGAUCCGAAAGAUAAGUGCGCUAUACGCCCUAAGAGAGGUGCUAAGUAAUAUAAGCUGAGAUGAUAAAUAGUAAAUAUAAUAUUAAGAGACAAAAUUGAGAAUGCAGUACAAGCUCUUAAGAGAAGAAAAACAAAAAAAAAUAUUAAUA